rnacentral:rRNA from 1 species
GCUUGUCUCAAAGAUUAAGCCAUGCAUGUCUUAGUGUAAAUAACUCUUAUGAAACUGCGAAUGGCUCAUUAAAUCAGUUAUCAAAUACGUGAUGGUCGCCUACUACAUGGAUAACCGUAGUAAUUCUAGAGCUAAUACAUGCGUCAAGACCUGACUUUUCGGAAGGGUUGUGUUUAUUAGAUAAAAAGCCAAUCCAUGCUCUGCAUGGUAUUGUGGUGACUCAUAAUAACCGAUCGAAUCGCAUGGCGUAAGCCGGCGAUAAAUCAUUCAAGUUUCUGACCUAUCAGCUUCCGACGGUAGGGUAUUGGCCUACCGUGGCUAUGACGGGUAACGGGGAAUUAGGGUUCGAUUCCGGAGAGGGAGCCUGAGAAACGGCUACCACAUCUAAGGAAGGCAGCAGG